rnacentral:rRNA from 1 species
AUUGAACGCUGGCGGCAGGCCUAACACAUGCAAGUCGAACGAGUGGCGGACGGGUGAGUAAUGUCUGGGAAACCGCCCGAUGGAGGGGGAUAACUACUGGAAACGGUAGCUAAUACCGCAUACCAUCGGAUGUGCCCAGAUGGGAUUAGCUAGUAGGUGGGGUAACGGCUCACCUAGGCGACGAUCCCUAGCUGGUCUGAGAGGAUGACCACCCACACUGGAACGGAGACACGGUCCAGACCCCUACGGGAGGAGGCAGUGGGGAAUAUUGGCCAAUGGGCGAAAGCCUGAUGCAGCCAUGCCGCGUGUAGGAAGAAGGCCUUCGGGUUGUAAAGUACUUUCAGCGAGGAGGCGUUACUCGCAGAAGAAGCACCGGCUAACUCCGUGCCAGCAGCCGCGGUAAUUC